UGAGGAGCAAUAGUGUGCAGGUGUCUGCCGUGUCAGACAUUCUCCGCACUGAGGAGUGCCAGAAACAUUGGCAUAUUAUAAAAUCUGAGGCAAGACGGAACACCCGCAAGCAGAGAGAAGCCAUGACUGCCACAGAUGGUGGACCUCCUGCUAACCCUCCUCUUUCCCAGCACAAUGAGUUAAUCUUUGAGAUUUUGGACCCUAAGAAUGUCUCUAUUCAUGGGUGUACCAAUAAGGCAAGCAUCAUUGAAUGCACCUUCCUUAACAAAGGAUAAGCCACUUGUAGAUAUAGCAAUAUUAGGCCAUAAUGUUGUCUCAAAUGUCUGCAAUCCAAAAUACUCGUUCCCAUUUAGUUUACAACUUAAGAGUUAAACACAAUGGUAAAUUUGUUAUCUAGUGUUGAGAAAAUUUCAUUUUUUUUUUCUUUAACCAAACAGCUAAAACAGUAAUAAGAAAAGAAAAAAAUAAAAAACUAAUAAAGUUAACUUAAUUCCUAUCCCUUCUUCCCCCUCAUAGAUAUGAUGUUGUAGUGGGUAAAUGUGUUAAUGAUAACAAGUCUUAGGGAUUUACAGUUUCUUAGACAUGGGCUUCCUUCAAACAGAAUAGGAUUUAAGUCAAACACAUUGUACCCUUAGCUAGAUUUACUGGUUUCUGUUACUUUUGUCCUUAGCAAUAAAACCAAAAACAUUAUCAGCUUAGUUUCUGAAGUUAGAACUAAUGAUGCCAGCAGUGUGCAGGCAGCAGAUGAUGCUGGGGAAGUGGCAGAGGCAGCCCAACAGAGAGAAGUGGUGACCGAGGCAGUAGGUGUUGAGGAGGAGGCACCUGCCACACCACUUGCAGCACCAAGAGGGGCCAGACUUGCCUGGUAUAUCACUGGUGUUUGUGGAUGAGGAGAUCAUCCACCUGCAGAAGAAAAGGAAGCUUGAGCUUGCACUCCUUGAAGAAUCUAUAAUGGCUCAGGAAAGGAAGCAAGAAGCAGAACAGGCUAAGUACAUGUACUACACACAAAAACUAGAGUAC
rnacentral:lncRNA from 1 species